rnacentral:rRNA from 1 species
UAGGAACAUAUCCAGAGGUGGGGGACAACCCCGGGAAACUGGGGCUAAUACCGCAUAUGAGCCGAGGCUCAAAGCAGUGAUGCGCCUUUGGAGUGGCCUGCGUCCGAUUAGCUUGUUGGUGGGGUAAUGGCCUACCAAGGCGACGACGGGUAGCCGGCCUGAGAGGGCGACCGGCCACACUGGGACUGAGACACGGCCCAGACUCCUACGGGAG